CCCGCCCCCACGGUGAUCCUCCCAUGGCCCCGCCCUGCCCCGGCCACGCUAAUUGGUUUCUUUCUGCGGAGCUUCCUGAGCUCCGAUUGGCUGUACUCGUCGCCUUUCCGCUGUUCGAUUGGUCCGCGGGGCCCGCUUUCUCGAGGACCUGCUCCUCGACGGGGCGGGGCCAGCGGCGGCGCGCGGAGCAGGAUUGGUCAGCGACUCAGAGGGGGCGGGCCCACGCCGCGCGCAGUGCCUCGCCAGAAGCGCCAGGAGCAGCUACUGCCGCCUCAGUCGCCUCAGUCGCUUCAGGCUUGGUCGCCUCAGGCUCAGGCACCACCGGGAUCUUCAGUCCUCACCCCCAGCCCCGCCCCGGCCGCCCUCCCGUGGGCCGGCCCGCGGGCACGCCCUCUGCCGCGGGACAGGUGACACCCGAAGACAGGCUGGGGGCAGGUGAGGGAGUUAGACAGGUGGCUGGAGGGAAGAGCACUUUCAGAGGCCAGAGGACAGGUGAGGUAGGUGUGAUGGUGGUGGUGACUGAGAGCCUGUGGGCUGGGCCGAGGCCAUGGUGGGCGGGGCUGAACCAUAAUGGGCGGGAUCAGGGCGAGCAGAGCUUGUUAGGGGCCUUCGCGUAAUUGGAGGAUUUGGCUUUUACUCUUGGGGAAAUGGGGCUUCCCUGGCGGCUAGUGGUAAAGAAUCCACUUGCCAGGCAGGAGGUGUGGGUUCAGUCAAGGGAGAGGGAAGAUUCCCUAGAGGAGGAAAUGGCAACCCUCUGCAGUAUUCUUGCCUGGGAAAUACCAUGGACAGAGGAGCGUGUCUAUGGGGUCACAAAGGCGUCAGACAUGAUUUAACGACUGAAGGACGACAAACUUCGGGAAAGGGCGUGCCAUUGCUGGGUUUUGAGCAGAGCAGUGGCAUGAAUGGACGUAGGCUGUAAUGGGCUGACUCUGCCUGCCCUGUGGGGGGUGAGGACAGGAUGGUGAGGACAGGAUGGUGAGGACAGGAUGGGGAACCCAUCCCGUUAACCCAGGGGAAGGGAGACGGCGGUUCCCAUCAGGGUCGUGUGGAAAUGACGUUUUGAUUCUGGGUCCUGUUGGAUGGUAGCGAUCACGGUAGCACACAAUCAGACAGGAGAUGUGGAAAGGAGUGAAUUUUGGCCUGCUAGUCUGGGAAGCAGGCGCUCGAUGGUCAUUGUGGGGAAGCCCUCAGGACCCCUGGUGGGGAGUGGUGGG
rnacentral:lncRNA from 1 species